UACAGAGGUCUCAAGCGUUGUUCGGAUUCAUUGGGCGUAAAGGGUGCGUAGGUGGCGCUGUAAGUCGGGUGUGAAAUUUCGGAGCUUAACUCCGAAACUGCAUUCGAUACUGCGGUGCUUGAGGACUGGAGAGGAGACUGGAAUUCCUGGUGUAGCGGUGGAAUGCGCAGAUAUCAGGAGGAACACCGGUGGCGAAGGCGGGUCUCUGGGCCGAUACUGACGCUGAGGAGCGAAAGCGUGGGGAGCGAACAGG
rnacentral:rRNA from 1 species